UGCUAUACAUGCAAGUCGAGCGCAGGAAGUUAUCUGAUCCUCUUUUAGAGGUGACGAUAAUGGAAUGAGCGGCGGACGGGUGAGUAACACGUAGGCAACCUGCCUGUAAGACUGGGAUAACUCGUGGAAACGCGAGCUAAUACCGGAUAACACUUUUCAUCUCCUGAUGAGAAGUUGAAAGGCGGCUUUUGCUGUCACUUACAGAUGGGCCUGCGGCGCAUUAGCUAGUUGGUAAGGUAAUGGCUUACCAAGGCGACGAUGCGUAGCCGACCUGAGAGGGUGAUCGGCCACACUGGGACUGAGACACGGCCCAGACUCCUACGGGAGGCAGCAGUAGGGAAUCUUCCGCAAUGGACGAAAGUCUGACGGAGCAACGCCGCGUGAGUGAUGAAGGUUUUCGGAUCGUAAAACUCUGUUGUUAGGGAAGAACAAGUGCCAUAGUAACUGAUGGCACCUUGACGGUACCUAACCAGAAAGCCACGGCUAACUACGUGCCAGCAGCCGCGGUAAUACGUAGGUGGCAAGCGUUGUCCGGAAUUAUUGGGCGUAAAGCGCUCGCAGGCGGUUCUUUAAGUCUGAUGUGAAAUCUUACGGCUCAACCGUAAACGUGCAUUGGAAACUGGGGAACUUGAGUGCAGAAGAGGAGAGUGGAAUUCCACGUGUAGCGGUGAAAUGCGUAGAGAUGUGGAGGAACACCAGUGGCGAAGGCGACUCUCUGGUCUGUAACUGACGCUGAG
rnacentral:rRNA from 1 species